AAAAAAAAGCAGCCAUGACGUCCCUCUUCCCUUCCGGGAUGUCGCGUGGCUGUCAAGACGCUGGGGGAAGAUUGCAGAAGCAAGAAUUGUUAUAAAUCACCCAGAGAGCUUCAACUAUUGGGCAAUAUAGAAAUGAAAUGAUUGAAUGAAUGUUCUUUAUCAGCAAUAAAGGGCAAGACAAAAUUUCACUUAUGUCAAGGAACCUAUUUGGGGGUUGAAGUUCAGCACCUUGGAUAACUCCUUUGGAGUCUUGGCUGGUUCUGACUGAAGCCCAGAAUGCAUUCACAGCCCCACCAAAAUCUGAGCUACCAUCCUCCACUGCUGCUAAAUUUGUUUAAAACAAAAAGCAGCUGCAGGUGACUUCAGGGUUGAGUGGUGGACCAGUGAAGAGGAAGGAGAUGCAGCUUAACCUUUCUCCUUGGACCAGGUGUCCAACCAAAACCAUCUCACUUCCAGCUGCUGCUGUUUUGCUGGCAAAAGAAAAAGUUUGGGAUCCCGCUACCUUUCCCCCGACAGGCAGAAAAGCUGCUUGCCUAGGCAGUUUGGAGCAAACAGCUUGCUUGAAGCUAAAGCGUUACAUGACUCUUCCUACCUGCCAGUCUUCUGCUUGGCCUUGCAUCCACCUUUGCAUUCGAAAAACAACCACCAUCCCCAUUGUGGAGAAAGGAUAAGAAAACUACAUGCAAUCUGUAACCCGGCCCUGAUGCAACAUUGCUGGAGCAGUGUCUUUACACAUUCCAAAACUUAAGCAAGCCGAUCACACCGUUUCAUGUUGAUAAAUGAAAUUAAACCAUUCUCGUGUUUAAGAAAUAUGUAAC